AGUUCCAUGGUGUAAUGGUUAGCAACUCUGGACUCUGAAUCCAGCGAUCUGAGUUCAAAUCUCGGGUAGAACCU